UACGGAGGGUGCAAGCGUUAUCCGGAUUCAUUGGGCUUAAAGGGUGCGUAGGUGGGUUGGUAAGUCAGUGGUGAAAUCUCCGGGCUUAACCUGGAAACUGCCAUUGAUACUAUCAAUCUUGAAUACCUUGGAGGUGAGCGGAAUAUGUCAUGUAGCGGUGAAAUGCUUAGAUAUGACAUAGAACACCAAUUGCGAAGGCAGCUCACUAGGCGGUCAUUGACACUGAGGCACGAAAGCGUGGGGAUCAAACAGG
rnacentral:rRNA from 1 species